rnacentral:rRNA from 1 species
GUGGGGAAUCUUCCGCAAUGGACGAAAGUCUGACGGAGCGACGCCGCGUGAGUGAAGAAGGCCUUCGGGUCGUAAAGCUCUGUCAUCAGGGACGAACGGCCGGUGGAGUGGAAAGCCACCGGAUUGACGGUACCUGAGAAGGAAGCCACGGCUAACUACGUGCCAGCAGCCGCGGUAAUACGUAGGUGGCAAGCGUUGUCCGGAAUUAUUGGGCGUAAAGCGCGCGCAGGUGGGAUCUUAAGUCCAUUUUGAAAGUUCGGAGCUCAACUCCGUGAGGGGAUGGAAACUGGGAUUCUUGAGUACCGGAGAGGAAAGCGGAAUUCCCCGUGUAGCGGUGAAAUGCGUAGAUAUGGGGAGGAACACCAGUGGCGAAGGCGGCUUUCUGGACGGUGUCUGACACUGAGGCGCGAAAGCUAGGGGAGCGAACGGGAUUAGAAACCCGGGUAGUCC